GACGAACGCUGGCGGCGUGCUUAACACAUGCAAGUCGAACGGAAAGGCCCUGCGUUUGUGCUGUGCUGGAGUGGCGAACGGGGGAGUAUCACGUGAGUAACCUGACCUACACUUUGGGAUAACUUCAGGAAGCUGAGGCUACUCCCGGAUAGGAGCUCCUGCUGCAUGGUGAGGGUUGGAAAGUUUCGGCGGUUGGGGAUGGACUAGCGGGUUAUCAGCUUGCUGGUGGGGGAGUGGCUUACCAAGGCUUUGACGGGUAGCCGGCAUGGGAGGGUGACCGGCCACAUGGCGACUGCGAUACGGACCAGACUCCAACGGGAGGCAGCAGGGGGAAAUAUGAUACAAUGAGCGGACGUCGGAUGAGGAGACGCCGCGUGCGUGAUGACGGCUUGUGGGGAAUAAAACGCUUCAGCCUAUGACGAAGCGUUUGUGACGGUAAUGAGUAAAGAAGCACCGGCUAACUACGUG
rnacentral:rRNA from 1 species